rnacentral:rRNA from 1 species
GAUGAACGCUGGCGGCGUGCCUAAUACAUGCAAGUCGAGCGAACGGACGAGAAGCUUGCUUCUCUGAUGUUAGCGGCGGACGGGUGAGUAACACGUGGAUAACCUACCUAUAAGACUGGGAUAACUUCGGGAAACCGGAGCUAAUACCGGAUGAUAUUUUGAACCGCAUGGUUCAAAAGUGAAAGACGGUCUUGCUGUCGCUUAUAGAUGGAUCCGCGCUGCACUAGCUAGUUGGUAAGGUAACGGCUUACCAAGGCAACGAUGCAUAGCCGACCUGAGAGGGUGAUCGGCCACACUGGAACUGAGACACGGUCCAGACUCCUACGGGAGGCAGCAGUAGGGAAUCUUCCGCAAUGGGCGAAAGCCUGACGGAGCAACGCCGCGUGAGUGAUGAAGGUCUUCGGAUCGUAAAACUCUGUUAUUAGGGAAGAACAUAUGUGUAAGUAACUGUGCACAUCUUGACGGUACCUAAUCAGAAAGCCACGGCUAACUACGU